GAGGGGAAAGAGGGAAGGAGAUUCCUGAUUCCUGCCUUGUGCAGGUGGCGCCCGCAGCUUGAGAAAACAGCAGCCUCCACCCCCUCGGCCCGGUGAUUGGCUGGUUUUUCUCAUUUUCCAGCGAGGAAGCGGAAAGGACAAGCGACAUCCCGGAGCUCAAUUGCACAAGUGGCCACCACCUCCGAUGCACAAGGGGGCUCAUCUGAAAAGAAAGCUUAGCCCCAGAGAAGUGGUGUGGAGCGCCGCGGGUCGUGCGGGUGUGAACAGCACGCGAGGGCACCGGGUCUCACAGAGAUGAUGAACUCUGUUUGAACCGAUCUCUCAUUAAGAGUUCUUAAGAGAUGGCUUCACUGGCCUACUGGAGGAGGAAGAGGUGGGACCAGGUCACUCUCAUGAUCUCAGCUGAUGAGUCAACCCCCAGAAGCAGAAGCAACUGAGAAGCAGAAGUAACAGCCAAACACAGAAGCAUGAGUGUACCUAUUCAACAAUGGCAGAAGAAUAACUUGAAUAUUAACCUCCAUACAAACCUUUGAACAAAAUAAUCACUGCUGUGUUAUGCCAUUGGGAUAAUAUAAUCAUUAAAUAAUUAUGUAAGAAGAAUAACUUGAAUACUUAUAUUCAAGAAUAACCUAUAUACAAACCUUUGAGCAAAAUAAAUGAUUGCUGUGUUAAGCCACUAAAUUGUGGGAUAAUAUAAUCAUUAAAUAAUUAUUCACA